CCGGGAUACGGGGAUGGUGGGGUUCCGGACCCGCGCCCGGGUCCCCGCCCGCCCCAGCGCCUGCCGCCGGCCGAAGCCCGACCCCCGCGUCUCCAUCGUGGGUCGCGAUGGUCGAAUGUGCGCCCGGGUCCGCGGGAUAGGCGGGCGCAGAGGUCCCUUGUGUUGGCGGGGGUGGGUGCGGCGAGGUUCCGGCGCCUCCGCGUAGCAUCGUGGGGCCGGGGCUGGGGGCGCCGCGGAUUGCUAUGCUUUCCGCACCUUCCCGGCUCUGAAGCCUCGAGAACACGGCUAUAGGCAGCAGUAGUUUAGUGGGGAGUUUGUCUGCUGGGAACUAGGGGCCUGCUGGGGUCUCAGUUCUUGGCUGGCCCUGGAACACGAGGUUGCCAGGUGUGUGACGGCAGCAGGUAGGAGUGACCCGCUGGUGCAGUGAUGAGCGGGAAAGGUCCGUGGGCCCAGCUUGGUCCUCUGCGGCUGGUCAGUGGGACAGACCUGCAGGUGUGGCUCCUGUCACUCUAGGACUGGCUUCAGGACAGAUCCGGCCGGAAGAGCCCAGGGCACCGCCCUCAGUUCUCCAGGAGAGUGGAGCCAGGAGGGGUGUGCGCGACUCGGCACGGGGGCCGUGCGCGUCCAGUCUGCCGCAAGGGCAGUGGGGAGCCGGGGGAAGUCACGGCCUUGCGAAUGUCCUCUGAUGGAAAGGAACCUGCGGGCUUAAUAAAAUAGCUUGUGUGUGGAA